GACGAACGCUGGCGGCGUGCUUAACACAUGCAAGUCGAACGGUAAGGCCCUUCGGGGUACACGAGUGGCGAACGGGUGAGUAACACGUGGGCGAUCUGCCCUGCACUUCGGGAUAAGCCUGGGAAACUGGGUCUAAUACCGGAUAGGACCACUGCCUGCAUGGGUGGUGGUGGAAAGCUUUUGCGGUGUGGGAUGGGCCCGCGGCCUAUCAGCUUGUUGGUGAGGUGAUGGCCUACCAAGGCGACGACGGGUAGCCGGCCUGAGAGGGUGACCGGCCACACUGGGACUGAGAUACGGCCCAGACUCCUACGGGAGGCAGCAGUGGGGAAUGUUGCACAAUGGGCGCAAGCCUGAUGCAGCGACGCCGCGUGAGGGAUGACGGCCUUCGGGUUGUAAACCUCUUUCAGCACCGACGAAGCGCAAGUGACGGUAGGUGCAGAAGAAGGACCGGCCAACUACGUGCCAGCAGCCGCCGUAA
rnacentral:rRNA from 1 species